rnacentral:lncRNA from 1 species
UAACAGAAAUUAUAUUACAUUGAUACCUUCGGCUUGUUUCAAGGUGAUGAUGCGAGAGCAAUUACAAUCCAGCGUGAACAGUACGAGGGUACUAUUCAUCUAUUUAUAGGCAACCGUAAGGUUUCAUACGCUAUUACAUUUAUGCCCUCAAUAAUUACAUAUAAAGUUUACAAGAUGUCGCAAGGGCAACAUCGCCAUUUGUAUUUAAUAACUUGAGAAACACCUUCUCCUUGCAUCGUCUCAUUAUUUCGUCAUGACGAAGCCUGCUUGAUGAAGCGUGCUUCGUUGUACUUCCUUUUCAUUAUGCCGAAGCCACGUUGUCAACCCAUUUCACCGUGAUGAAGCCUGUUGGACGAAGCUUGCUUCGCUCCUCUUGUGUUAUACCGAAGCAUUUAUGGUGACGAAGCUCCUGUAAUAUUCAGUAGUAUACUGAAAGCAAAUGGUUAGCCGUAUUUUUGAGAACCUUCGGAAGAGGAAGGCCCCAACAUUUCCAAAACUCAAGUUUUACAUGUUAGAAAGAGUAAUAUUUAUUACAAGUCCUGAUAGAACUCAAAGUGCAUAACUUACAUACAAAACUAGGAAGGUAGAACCCUUCCAAAGCUCACACAUAAACCUAACUAAUCCACCUUCAAGACUGGAAGCAUCUUCUAGCCACAGGGACACCUAGAAUACUCCUGAUUAACUGCAACAACAUGGGUUCGGAAACCCUGAGUACGAAGUGUACUUUCGCAAGUCUUACCCAACUAAGGAAAAAUACUCUCAAUGAUAUGCUAGAUUUGGGAAUCAAGGUAAGGUUUAGCAAAAAUCAAGCUUACUCAUUUGCAGAAAUAAGCAUCUAAUAGUGGAUCCUUACUUUCAACAUUUUAAUUCUGAAAUAAGUAUUAUUUGACUUUAUUCGCAUCUAGACCAACUUCAUCAUCACAUUAAUCAGUACUACAUGAUUUUUACUCAUUAUGAUUCCAUCCAUCACUUAGAUUGCAGGGUAGUGAUCAAUUCUCCAUUAUCCAAGGAUAUAACAGUGAUUCAAAUCGAUUUACCUAGCUGGGGAUCUCUAACCACAUGACAUAUGUAGCACUUAACCCUUGCAUAUGCCAACCUGCAAUCUCAAGAUCAUAUCGGGUUCACGCCAACCAAGAGCACAGUUACUCCACCGUCCAGUCUCUUGCCACGGAGGGUACACGCUAUUCUCGUCAUCUCUCCACUUUCAUUGUGUGGUAGCCUUUCUAGUAUUGGUCAAGCUGAGGUUAGGCUUACCCUAUCCCAUACCAGGGCAUGUGGCUAGUUAAAUAGUCCUCGAUCAUCAAGCCUACAUUCGCUAUAAUCUUUAAUCAACCUGGGAAGAACAUCACUUGUUCCUAGACCAAGUCUCGAAUUAAGUACUUUCAUCCUUAGGACUUAUUUGUGUACCUUAGGAUGAUUAAAACAUCACAGGGAACCUUGCAUUAGAUCUCCCCAUGAUCCUGGUGAAAAUAUUCUUGUAGGUAGAGUCAUCCUUCCUUAGAAUAAACCCUGAGCUACACAUUAGUGCAAAGGACAAACUCUAUCUACAAGACUUAUCUCUAGGUAGGGCUAAGCAAUUUUGUAAACAAUAUUUGAUACUUGCAAAGAAGUAUCUAUAAAAGGAAUGGAUAUCAAGGUAGUCAAUGAAUCAAAUAGUUUCCAAGCAACUCCUAUAAACUUAGUGCACAUUUCACUAGACUUAAAGUGUAUAAAAGUCUUUUAAAAAUACAAUGAAUGGGCAAAUGCAGUGGGGCAUGCCUUUGUUGUAGUGAAGAGGUUCUAGAUCCCUCUAUCAAAUACCAUUUAGAUGGUUCCUCCACUUGAUCAGCUGAAGUAGGGUCCUCCUUCAAACACCACUUCUUCUAGGUGUUCUACAAUUCAAUUAUAAUUACAUGAAUGCUUAUGUAAUGAUGUGAAAUGCAAACUCUCAUAAGGAGAGGUGGGAACAUAAACACAUGAACUGAAGCAUAUGACAAGUAUACACAUACUUCUCUAUAAUCUAAUACUUGACAAAAGUGACUAAUUUGAAUUUACUUAGAGAUCAAUAUUCUUUUGGUUUCUUCAUCCACAGACCAACUUUCACUAGAUAAACUUAUCUCCUUUCCAAAGCAUUAACCCACACUUGAUUAGGAAUUACCAUUCUAUUUUGGGGCUUAUAAGGUUUCUGGAGAAAAAUGAUUCCAAACAGCCCCAAACUUUUACCAAGUGUUUAACAUCAGAUAACAAGCUUCUCCAAAAAUGCCCAUGAUUUUUGGUGUUCAACUCUUAUUUCUAAAAUUCCAAUAGUCCUUCCAUGAGCACCUUUAAUUCACUUAAAAUUUUCUAACUGCUUCAAAAAUUCCAAAAAUAUUUUUAAUAGAAAUAUUCUGAAUUUAUACACCUAAUAAAAUUGGUCCCUUAAUUUGUUUUCAUUUUCUACAAUUUCUUGCGUUAUUUGGAAGGUCUCAGCUAAAUAAUAAAGGAAAAACAUCUAAACUCUGGGCCGAUUCUGGCCCACACGGCCCACGACCAGACACAGGCGGCCCGCGCUCGAGAGCCCGCGCCGCACAUCAUGCAGAAAGGCCCCAACUGCACUGACAAACUAAAUAAAAGCCCAAUCUACUGUUGUCACGCUCACUGUCAAGCGCACAUCGGUCCCUGUCCCUCGGCUUUAUCACUUUCACAAGAACUCGGACCCGAUGCCCCGCUGCCUCCCUGACUCCCUCCGACGAGCUGAGAACCUGACACAGCGGCGCUGAUCUUCAACGCCCACCAACCCCCCCUAGCACGUGUUCACGGCCAAGGCAAAGGGAACCCACAGCUUCACUACCACUGUCCAGCAAUCUAAUGCACUAACACGACGCCGGCGAGAUGCACGGCCCGGCGAGCCCGAUCCUGAGACACUAGAAUAGUAGAGUUCCAAUCAAGGGCGCAGAGAGCAGGAGGGAUUCACCAUGACCUCAGUGCUUGCGCGAAAUUGCUCGAGGAAGACGCGGUUGAACGGGUCGACGGCAAGGCUGUCCUCAGCAUCAGUCUGCGGCGGCACAACCGUGUCCCAAUCAAAUGACAGCGGUGACGUUCAAAAUACCAACAAGGAAAGCUUUACUGAUCUUAACUGAGUAUGGAACAAACACCACAUGGUCGAGCAAAUCUCCCGAAAUUCCUGGCUACGUGAGGUGAAGAAACUGGUGGCAAUGGUCACCAGUCUGAAGGGGAUGGCACAAAACUCUGGACAGGGCUAACCCUGGAACAGACCCACUUAGGAACUAGGGAGGGUAUUAAUACUAGCAGGAGCACAAGGACCACAACACCUGUGUAGCUAUCCUUGGAUAGAACUCGAGGACAGAGAAUAAACUUUCACAACCAG